rnacentral:rRNA from 1 species
UAGGGAAUCUUCGGCAAUGGACGAAAGUCUGACCGAGCAACGCCGCGUGAGUGAAGAAGGUUUUCGGAUCGUAAAACUCUGUUGUUAGAGAAGAACAAGGACGUUAGUAACUGAACGUCCCCUGACGGUAUCUAACCAGAAAGCCACGGCUAACUACGUGCCAGCAGCCGCGGUAAUACGUAGGUGGCAAGCGUUGUCCGGAUUUAUUGGGCGUAAAGCGAGCGCAGGCGGUUUCUUAAGUCUGAUGUGAAAGCCCCCGGCUCAACCGGGGAGGGUCAUUGGAAACUUGGAGACUUGAGUGCAGAAGAGGAGAGUGGAAUUCCAGGUGUAGCGGUGAAAUGCGUAGAUAUAAGGAGGAACACCAGUGGCGAAGGCGGCUCUCUGGUCUGUAACUGACGCUGAGGCUCGAAAGCGUGGGGAGCAAACAGG